rnacentral:tRNA from 1 species
GGUAAGGUGGCCGAGAGAGUAGGCAGCGGGUUGUAGCCCCGAGAACAGAGGUUCAAGUCCUCUCUUUACCA